rnacentral:rRNA from 1 species
UAAGGAAUAUUGGUCAAUGGACGCAAGUCUGAACCAGCCAUGCCGCGUGAAGGAAGACGGCCCUACGGGUUGUAAACUUCUUUUGUACAGGAAAAAACCACCGGUCGUGAAUCGGUGCUGAUGGUACUGUAAGAAUAAGGAUCGGCUAACUCCGUGCCAGCAGCCGCGGUACUACGGAGGAUCCAAGCGUUAUCCGGAUUCAGUGGGUUUAAAGGGUGCGCAGGCGGAAUGAUAAGUCAGUGGUGAAAUCCUACAGCUCAACUGGAGAACUGCCAUUGAUACUGUCGUUCUUGAGUACACUUGGAGUGGGCGGAAUGUGUCAUGUAGCGGUGAAAUGCGUAGAUAUGACACAGAACACCGAUCGCGAAGGCAGCUCACUAAAUUGUAACUGACGCUCAGGCACGAAAGCGUGGGGAUCAAACA